GAAUUUUUGCAGACAUUGAUAUGGGUGAAACAAAGAAAGUAAGCGAACAAACUAAUAUUGGACAGUUGGAGUUCAGCCCUGCACGACCCUUUGACAAAGCCCUUCCCUCACUUCUAGCCACCAUUGUCCAUUGUUCACACCUAACACAACCUAGUGGUAGCAUGUCACUUCCUCCUUGCCAGCCAGUUCACCCCAGCCUGUAGGUCAGUCAGCCUGUUAUAAAAGAAAAAAGUCAAUUUUUAUGUUCUCCCCCAACCGACAGUGAGCUUCACGGUGACAUCUAUCCUAAUCUACACUGACUUUCACCCUACUUCGACCACAACCAGACUUUCAUAGUUAAUAGGGUGGUAAUUUUGCUGGUUUCGACAUUAUGUACAUGCAUGAGUUUAAUCACCCCUCCCUCCUCUUUUCCUUUUCAGUUAUGAGAUUAAAGUGAGGGAAUGACAAGAGAAGAUCAUGAACCAACGAAAAUUACAGAUGUGUUGAAAUUUGUUGUCAGAAUCUGUUUGAAUGAUGAACUUCAUGCAUACAAUUGUUGUGGUUGUCACAACUGGAAUCUAUUAAACAAAAUCAAAUACUUGAUAAUAACUACCUCUCCACACUGUUAUGUUUCUUGUUUUUUCGUUUUCAAUAAUUUGAUCGGUUUUAGACUUUUGAUUUAUUUUCAAUUAGAAGUAAAUGAAUGAAGGAAAAAGAUAACAGAAAAAGUUGAUUUUACUUUUACUAUCAUUUUCCUAUGCUUUUUA